GGGGGGGAGACGUUCUCAAUUUUUGCCAUUUCUCUCUCCUACAGAAACAAACAAUGCUAAGCCGCACACAGGGCCCUCAAUGAGCCAUCUGUCUACUGUGGCCUUGCCAUCCUGAGGGUGUCUGUCUUGUGUUCUUGGCCUAGUCUGGAAAGCAUCACGCGUCCCAGUAUGCAGAGGCGGUUCAAGCAAGCCAACAGCUAAUUGCCCAGGUCUCUGAGAACUGACAUUAUGCAGGGCCCUCACCCUCCAGCUUCCUUCCCGGAUGAUUUUAUCUGCUCAAGGAAGAAAGGAUGGAUUCCAACUUCAAUAAUGAAAAACCUGCUCUUCUUUGCCAGCAUCC